rnacentral:pre_miRNA from 1 species
GUUAUACUCCCUCCGUUCUGAAUUACUUGUCUUGGAUUUAUCUAGAUACGGAGGUAUCUAGCACUAAAAUGAGUCUAGAUACAUCCGUAUCUAGACAAAUUCAAGACAAGUAAUUCGGAACGGAGGGAGUAUAUA